rnacentral:rRNA from 1 species
GAUGAACGCUGGCGGCGUGCCUAAUACAUGCAAGUCGAGCGGACAGUAGAGGAGCUAGCUCCUCUGAGGUUAGCGGUGGUCGGGUGAGUGACACGUGGAUAAACUACCUAUCAACCUGGGUUAACCUGGGGGAAACGCUGGUAAUACCGGGUAAAAUAUUGCAUCAAAUGGUUCAAUCGUAAGUGUCGGUUUUGCUGUCACUUUUAGAUAGAUCUGCGCCGCAUUCUCUAGUUGGUAAUGUAACGGCUUAAGCAGGCAACGAUGCUUAUCCGACCGGAGAGGGUGAUCGGCCACCCUGUAACAGAGACAGGGUCCAGACACCUACGGGAGGCAGCAGUAGGGAAUCUUACGCAAUGGACGAAAGCUUGACGGUGCAACGCCGCGUGAGUGAUGAUGGUCUUCGGAUCGUAAAACGCUGUUAUUAGUGAAGAACAAAAGUGUAAGUAACUAUGCACGUCUUGACGGUACCAAAGCAGAAAGCCACGGCUAACUACGUG